rnacentral:rRNA from 1 species
CACGUAGGAGGCAAACGUUAUCCGGAUUUACUGGGCGUAAAGCGCGUGUAGGUGGUUUGGUAAGUAGGGCGUGAAAGCUCCUGGCUCAACUGGGAGAGGACGUUCUAAACUGCCAAGCUUGAGGAUGGUAGAGGGAGGUGGAAUUCCGGGUGUAGCGGUGGAAUGCGCAGAUAUCCGGAGGAACACCAGUGGCGAAGGCGGCCUCCUGGACCACUCCUGACACUCAGACGCGAAAGCUAGGGUAGCAAAC